rnacentral:rRNA from 1 species
GGUAACUCCGGGCCGGAAGUGGGGUGAAGACGGAGGAUGCGAGCGUUAUCCGGAGUUAUUGGGUUUAAAGGGGGCGUAGGUUGACGGAUAAGUCAGCUGUGAAAGUUUACGGCUCAACCGUGAAAUUGGAGUUGAGACUGUAUGUCUUGAGUGUACAAGAGGUGGGCGGAAUUCGUGGUGUAGCGGUGAAAUGCUUAGAUAUCACGAAGAACUCCAAUUGCGAAGGCAGCUCACUGGGGUACAACUGACACUGAGGCUCGAAAGUGUGGGUAUCAAACAGGAUUAGAUACCCUAGUAGUC